AGCCUUCAAUGAUGUCUUGCACUGGGCUCUGACUGUUAGUGGGGAAAACGUGCGACUCCGCUCUUGACAUGGCGGAUUCUGAGGCGGCU
ensembl:snoRNA